rnacentral:rRNA from 1 species
UACGGAGGAUGCGAGCGUUAUCCGGAUUUAUUGGGUUUAAAGGGUGCGUAGGCGGGAUAAUAAGUCAGCGGUGAAAGUUUUCGGCUCAACCGGAAAAUUGCCGUUGAAACUGUUGUUCUUGAGUGCAGAAGAGGUAGGCGGAAUUCGUUAUGUAGCGGUGAAAUGCGUAGAUAUAACGAAGAACACCAAUUGCGUAGGCAGCUUACCAUACUGCAACUGACGCUGAGGCACGAAGGCGUGGGGAUCAAACAGGAUUAGAUACCCUGGUAGUCCCU